AAAAACUGGCCCCAAGUCGUUCAUUUAGCAAAACGAACCAAGUUCAACAAGCUUUAAUCGUAGUUUAUGAACCGCGUGGUUCACAACCCUAAGCAUUGGGUGCCAAAAAUGUAACACAACAUAUUUUUUUAUCGCAAUCUGAAAUUUUAAAAAACAAUGGUGAAGCAUAAUACCUUACAAGCCAGAACUUAAUAAUCAGGAAAGAGGAGACUCUUGCAAAGUACAACACAAUGUAGAUAAAUGAUAUUAUAAAACUACAAAAAC
rnacentral:lncRNA from 1 species